UACGUAGGGUGCGAGCGUUGUCCGGAAUUAUUGGGCGUAAAGAGCUCGUAGGCGGUUUGUCGCGUCGGCUGUGAAAACCUGGGGCUCAACCCCGGGCCUGCAGCCGAUACGGGCAAACUAGAAUUCGGUAGGGGAGACUGGAAUUCCUGGUGUAGCGGUGAAAUGCGCAGAUAUCAGGAGGAACACCGGUGGCGAAGGCGGGUCUCUGGGCCGAUAUUGACGCUGAGGAGCGAAAGCGUGGGGAGCGAACAGG
rnacentral:rRNA from 1 species